rnacentral:rRNA from 1 species
AGCCUGAGAAACGGCUACCACAUCCAAGGAAGGCAGCAGGCGCGCAAAUUACCCAAUCCCGACACGGGGAGGUAGUGACAAUAAAUACUGAUACGGGGCUCUUUCGGGUCUCGUAAUUGGAAUGAGUACAAUCUAAAUCCCUUAACGAGGAACAAUUGGAGGGCAAGUCUGGUGCCAGCAGCCGCGGUAAUUCCAGCUCCAAUAGCGUAUAUUAAAGUUGUUGCAGUUAAAAAGCUCGUAGUUGAACCUUGGGUCUGGCUGGCCGGUCCGCCUCACCGCGAGUACUGGUCCGGCUGGACCUUUCCUUCUGGGGAAUCCCAUGGCCUUCACUGGCUGUGGGGGGAACCAGGACUUUUACUGUGAAAAAAUUAGAGUGUUCAAAGCAGGCCUUUGCUCGAAUACAUUAGCAUGGAAUAAUAGAAUAGGACGUGCGGUUCUAUUUUGUUGGUUUCUAGGACCGCCGUAAUGAUUAAUAGGGAUAGUCGGGGGCGUCAGUAUUCAGCUGUCAGAGGUGAAAUUCUUGGAUUUGCUGAAGACUAACUACUGCGAAAGCAUUCGCCAAGGAUGUUUUCAUUAAUCAGGGAACGAAAGUUAGGGGAUCGAAGACGAUCAGAUACCGUCGUAGUCUUAACCAUAAACUAUGCCGACUAGGGAUCGGGCGGUGUUUCUAUGAUGACCCGCUCG